UUUAAAAUCUGGCGGUCCUCGCGGCCGUCCGAGUUGUAAUCUAGAGAAGCGUCAUCCGCGCAGGCCCGCGCACAAGUCUCUUGGAAUAGAGCAUCAUAGAGGGUGAGAAUCCCGUCUCUGGCGCGGAAGGCCGGUGCAGUGCGAUGCGCUCUCGACGAGUCGAGUUGUUUGGGAAUGCAGCUCAAAACGGGUGGUAAAUUCCAUCUAAAGCUAAAUAUUGGCGAGAGACCGAUAGCGAACAAGUACCGUGAGGGAAAGAUGAAAAGAACUUUGGAAAGAGAGUUAAACAGUACGUGAAAUUGUUGAAAGGGAAACGCUUGAAGUCAGUCGCGUACGUCGGUGAUCAGCCUUCUCUCGAGUCGGCGUAUUCUCCGACGAACGGGCCAGCAUCGAUCUAGCUUGCCGGAAAAGGGCGAGAGGAAGGUGGCAUCCUCUGGAUGUGUUAUAGCCUCUCGUCGCAUGCGGCAGUCUGGAUCGAGGUACUCAGCGCGCCGCAAGGCCGGGGCUUCCGCCCACGAUCACGCGCUUA
rnacentral:rRNA from 1 species